CUACGGGCCAAAGAGGGGGACCUUCGGGCCUCUCGCGUCAGGAUAUGCCUAGGUGGGAUUAGCUAGUUGGUGAGGUAAGGGCUCACCAAGGCGACGAUCCCUAGCUGGUCUGAGAGGAUGAUCAGCCACACUGGAACUGAGACACGGUCCAGACUCCUACGGGAGGCAGCAGUGGGGAAUAUUGCACAAUGGGCGCAAGCCUGAUGCAGCCAUGCCGCGUGU
rnacentral:rRNA from 1 species